UACGGAGGGUGCAAGCGUUAUCCGGAUUUACUGGGUUUAAAGGGUGCGUAGGUGGGUCUGUAAGUCAGUGGUGAAAUCUUCGAGCUUAACUCGGAAACUGCCAUUGAUACUAUAGGUCUUGAAUUAUCUGGAGGUAAGCGGAAUAUGUCAUGUAGCGGUGAAAUGCUUAGAUAUGACAUAGAACACCAAUUGCGAAGGCAGCUUACUACGGAUUGAUUGACACUGAGGCACGGAAGCGUGGGGGUCAAACAGG
rnacentral:rRNA from 1 species